AUCUUUGAGAUUAGUAUUUGCUAGAUCUAGUAUUAAUCAUAUCUUUUGUUCCAGGUACCAUCGCUGGCUUUCAACGUUCUCAUAUAAUAGGUAUUGGGGUUACUGUUCUCGUCGGUUUUGUUCUUGCUGUCCUUGCUGGUGUCUGGUUUUGCCGGAAUUAAAAGAAGAAAGAAACAAUGCAGGAAGGCUUACAAAUGGAUGAGCGCCAGCCACAGGACAACAGCCGGGACAACAACCGGGACAACAACCGGGACAACAACAACAUCAAUGAACCUCUGAUGAAGAAUUCGUUUUAAUCGGCAGAACUGUGUCCUUCAGUGUUUUGUCUUGUGUGUGUGUGUGUGUGUGUGUGUGUGUGUGUGGGGGGGGGGGGGGGGGGGGGGGGGGGUUGUUUUUUACAUAUAAAACAUCUCAAGUUCUUAACAAACACCAGUCUAUCCUGAGCUCUGCUACAUGAUGUGCUCACUCACCAUGUCGGCCCAGGGGGGGGGGGGGGCUUCACAUAGGUGUGUGUGCCUGCCUGUGUAUCCAUAAAGACACCACAGAGGCACUGAUGAACCACUUUAAACUUUACUGCACAUCUUUUUUUUUUUUUCACUACCUAGUUGUGUAAAGUCUAGAUUAUACUUGACCAGGGAUGUCAAACAUAAGGCCUGGGAAAGUGAAACAACUUUACAAAAUGUUAAGCAGGGCAGAAAUUGUGGACUGUAUUUUAAUCCAUUUUACAAUAUUUUUCUAUUGACCUAACCCAGUGGCCAGACAUCUUACACCAGCGCUAUGAAGUAAUACAUAUAAAAAGGAAUGAAAUGACAGAUGUUUUAAUAUCAAUAUUUAUAAUACUAAAACAAAGCCUUAAAGUGAAGCCAAUACUGAAGUGCCUUAAAACCUGCGUUCUCGCAGAAUGCAAAAACAAAACUUGAUAUCCUAUGAGGAAAAACCUUUUUUUUUUUUCUUUUUUUAGUUCCCGCUUGUAAAAGUGAUCAAAAUAUUUUUAACACUAAAAUACAAUUAUUGAAAUUUACUGUUUUACAAAAACUUCCUCUACAUUUUAAACUUUAUGCACAGACAGAACAUGUUCAGCCUAAUGUACCCUCUAUUAUAUCAAUCUGUGAACGUAAUAAUGAGUGUUCUUUGAACUGACUAAAAUAUUAAUUAAGAAGCAAGUUUACAUUUUAUGUAUAACCAUCCUAAAACUACAUUCCUAUGUGGCGUGCCAGGGCUUUAUAUAUGGCCUCAGUACUCUUGACCCAUAAUCAAACCAACCCAAAUUGUUCAAUGUCCAGU
rnacentral:lncRNA from 1 species